rnacentral:lncRNA from 1 species
GAAGGAGGGAGAGUCUCCAGCCAUUGGCUGCUUUCCCAGCUGUCCCUGGGGUAGCAGGCAAGAGACUAGAAACACAGCUAAGCAGAGGACAGAGCAAGGGGAGCUGAGCAAGGAGAAGGAUUCUAAGCUUGUCGGCUUCUGGAACCUUGGAACACUGGCAAAGGCUCUGGCUAUGUCAGAAUUCAAUCUUAAAAGGCACUUAUAAUAAGAUAAUACUAAAAGAGAGCACGUGGAUCCAUACACUAGACUAACGCGGGGAUAGAAUUGGCCAAUCCUGGAGCGCUACCCUCAGGUUCGGACCAUCAAGAGUGGGUAAAAGAAACUGGGCGUGGUGGCGCAUGCCUUUAAUCCCAGCACUCGGGGAGGCGGAGGCGGAGGCGGAGGCGGAGGCGGAGGCGGAGGCGGAGGCGGAGGCGGAGGCGGAGGCGGAGGCGGAGGCGGGCAGAUUUCUGAGUUCCAGGUCAGCCUGGUCUACAAAGUGAGUUCCAGGACAGCCAGGGCUACACAGAAAAACCCUGACUCGAAAAACAAAACAAAACAAAAGAUUGGGUAAAAGAUUCUAACCUAGUUCUCCAUCAUGAAGCCUUCAUCAGCUUACAGGGGAUGUUUGAAUCUGACACUUUUACCCCUUGCAAUCGAAUGCGGGGUGAGGGUAACAGAAAAAACGCCUGUCACUUCUGCAUUUUUCAAAUGUCCUCUUCGAAGGAAGAGCAACACAGGCACUCUUAAGCCUGUAAAUCUCUUCUUCUGGCACGGGGUUCCAAUGGCAAUCGGGAGUGCCACUUAAAGGGGAGCAGUUUGUGCAUUGCACAAAGGCAUCCAGCCAAUGGGACAAAAGGGGCCUAAGAUUCAGCUUGGCCUCUGCUUGCCAAGUCAUGUACCCGCAGGACUGCAUCACCCGGAGGGGGUGCCUCUUUCAAAUGUGCACAAAGCCUCCCUAGAAGGGAUCAGCUGGCUCCUGAUCCUAACAAUAGCAGCAUUGCAGUGACUCAAUGGAAACAUUCUCUUGGAUUCCAUAAACUCACUAUGCUUGAAUAUUCAAUUGAUACUCAUACAUAAUUUAUGCCAUCGUGUCAAAAUCAUUUGUUUUUGGAGUCCUCAAGCCUAGGAAAGUGAGCCCCAAAGCAUCAGAGGAAGAACACAUUGCACACUGUAGCCACAAUCAAAAUGGCUUUUUAAAGGGAUUUCUUAUUCUCCUGGGAUGACACCUUCCCAUCUAUGAAGCCUGUUGGAUUAUCAGCAACCGGGUAGAUGCCAAGAGCUUUCUGAUUCAUUUCAGUUUUCUCCUCAGUGGCAUCCUCUUUACUCUACUGACCUGUUACAAUUCAGUAAGUCCUUACAGGGCAAGUGAAAAAUCUCUUUCAUGUGGGGAAGUCUGUCAGCAUCACUGAGGAAGUAUGGGUACUUCAGCUUCAAACACUAGUUAAAUAUUUGUGUGACGACAUCAAACUCACCGCAUAAUAGGCUGCCAUUCGAUCCUCAAAAAGCAAAAAACAAAACAAAACAAAACAAAACAAAAAAAUGGGGGCUGAGGUGUCACCUAGCAGCAGAAUACAUGUUUAGCCUUGACAAGAUUUUAUACCCAGCACCUGGAUAAGAGGGCCAAGUUCUGGUCCACACACUGCUAUAGGCCACAAGACCUUGACUUUGAAAGACACUUUCCCAGGGGCUUUGUUUUGAUGUCUGAAAACAAAGAAACUAAAUAAAGUGUAGCAUUAAUUAAUUAAA